rnacentral:tRNA from 1 species
GUCUUCGUGGUGUAACGGUAGCACACUCGACUCGUAUUCGAGGGGCCUAGGUUCGAGUCACGGCGAAAGCA